GAUGAACGCUGGCGGCGUGCCUAAUACAUGCAAGUCGAACGCUUUGUGGUUCAACUGAUUUGAAGAGCUUGCUCAGAUAUGACGAUGGACAUUGCAAAGAGUGGCGAACGGGUGAGUAACACGUGGGAAACCUACCUCUUAGCAGGGGAUAACAUUUGGAAACAGAUGCUAAUACCGUAUAACAAUGACAACCGCUUGGUUGUUAUUUAAAAGAUGGUUCUGCUAUCACUAAGAGAUGGUCCCGCGGUGCAUUAGCUAGUUGGUAAAGUAAUGGCUUACCAAGGCGAUGAUGCAUAGCCGAGUUGAGAGACUGAUCGGCCACAAUGGGACUGAGACACGGCCCAUACUCCUACGGGAGGCAGCAGUAGGGAAUCUUCCACAAUGGGCGAAAGCCUGAUGGAGCAACGCCGCGUGUGAUGAAGGGUUUCGGCUCGUAAAACACUGUUGUAAGAGAAGAAUGACAUUGAGAGUAACUGUUCAAUGUGUGACGGUAUCUUACCAGAAAGGAACGGCUAAAUACGUGCCAGCAGCCGCGGUAAUACGUAUGUUCCAAGCGUUAUCCGGAUUUAUUGGGCGUAAAGCGAGCGCAGACGGUUAUUUAAGUCUGAAGUGAAAGCCCUCAGCUCAACUGAGGAAUUACUUUGGAAACUGGAUGACUUGAGUGCAGUAGAGGAAAGUGGAACUCCAUGUGUAGCGGUGAAAUGCGUAGAUAUAUGGAAGAACACCAGUGGCGAAGGCGGCUUUCUGGACUGUAACUGACGUUGAGGCUCGAAAGUGUGGGUAGCAAACAGGAUUAGAUACCCUGGUAGUCCACACCGUAAACGAUGAGUGCUAGGUGUUUGAGGGUUUCCGCCCUUAAGUGCCGCAGCUGACGCAUUAAGCACUCCGCCUGGGGAGUACGACCGCAAGGUUGAAACUCAAAGGAAUUGACGGGGACCCGCACAAGCGGUGGAGCAUGUGGUUUAAUUCGAAGCAACGCGAAGAACCUUACCAGGUCUUGACAUCCCUUGACAACUCCAGAGAUGGAGCGUUCCCUUCGGGGACAAGGUGACAGGUGGUGCAUGGUUGUCGUCAGCUCGUGUCGUGAGAUGUUGGGUUAAGUCCCGCAACGAGCGCAACCCUUAUUACUAGUUGCCAGCAUUCAGUUGGGCACUCUAGUGAGACUGCCGGUGACAAACCGGAGGAAGGUGGGGAUGACGUCAAAUCAUCAUGCCCCUUAUGACCUGGGCUACACACGUGCUACAAUGGCGUAUACAACGAGUUGCCAACCCGCGAGGGUGAGCUAAUCUCUUAAAGUACGUCUCAGUUCGGAUUGUAGGCUGCAACUCGCCUACAUGAAGUCGGAAUCGCUAGUAAUCGCGGAUCAGCACGCCGCGGUGAAUACGUUCCCGGGUCUUGUACACACCGCCCGUCACACCAUGAGAGUUUGUAACACCCAAAGCCGGUGGGGUAACCUUCGGGAGCCAGCCGUCUAAGGUGGGACAGAUGAUUAGGGUG
rnacentral:rRNA from 1 species